rnacentral:rRNA from 1 species
UAGUCCACGCCGUAAACGAUGGAUACUAGUUGUUUACUACUUCGGUGGUAAGUGGCCAAGCGAAAGUGAUAAGUAUCCCACCUGGGGAGUACGUUCGCAAGAAUGAAACUCAAAGGAAUUGACGGGGGCCCGCACAAGCGGUGGAGCAUGUGGUUUAAUUCGAUGAUACGCGAGGAACCUUACCAAGGCUUAAAUGCAAUACGAAUGAGUUGGAAACAGCUCAGUCUUAGGACGGAUUGCAAGGUGCUGCAUGGUUGUCGUCAGCUCGUGCCGUGAGGUGUCAGGUUAAGUCCUAUAACGAGCGCAACCCCUGUUGUUAGUUGCCAGCACAUAAUGGUGGGGACUCUAACAAGACUGCCGGUGCAAACCGUGAGGAAGGUGGGGAUGACGUCAAAUCAUCACGGCCCUUACGUCUUGGGCUACACACGUGCUACAAUGGCAGGUACAGCGGGUUGCCACCGGGUAACCGGGCGCCAAUCCCUAAAGCCUGUCACAGUUCGGAUCGUAGUCUGCAA